UCAAGACCGAAGAAAUAAAGAGAACCAUUGUUACGAAAGAGUCAACCCAGCUUAAGGCCCAACAAAAACGGGUCAAUUAUAUUCAAACCGGUCGGCAACCCGUUUUGGGUUAAACACCUCCCCCUGGAAUCGUCUUUCAAUUUGGGGGUUCUAAACUCCCGCCUCCCUCUCGCCGCCGUCUGCAAUGGUGGAAAUCAACAAGCUCGCGUUCCCAGAGGACGAAGAAGGAAGCAGAGUGUUUAGGCAGCUGAAAGCAUACUGCUUUGAGCUUCUAGCUUCUCCAAAACCCCAAGAAGCACUCCUCUGCUCUCUCGUCUCUGCACCAUUUUCUUCGCCAGUCUCCGCCUCAUGCUCUCCAGCCAUCCUUCGACUGUUGACUUGACUGUAGAACCUCAAAGAAGCUUGGUUCUGAAGAAAAACUUGCGACUCAUAAGGUCCUAAAAAUGCCUCACAAAGUGAGCGAUAGUGUUGCUGAAUGUUGCUUCAGUGCCUGGAAGAACUGCUCAAGAAGUGUUGUUUUGGAUCUGUAGAUCAGGUAAGUUCAAAGUUGGCUGCCAAAGAAAUGGCAUGGUUUUUCCGUUAGUUCAAAAUUGUUUUGUAUGUUGUAUUAGUUAGUUUGUUCCUGUGAAUUGUUGUCCUAGAAGGCAGUCUUCACAUUUGAAGCACAAUAAUAUCCUUUGCAGUUGGUUGUAGUACUGAAGAAGUUGACUUAUGGGGCUUUGCUUUCUCCAUCUGAUGCAUCAGAAGAGUUUCGUGAAGGAAUUUUUAAGUGUUUUGGGGAACUGCUUCUGAAUUUACUUCCAUGCUUUGAUGAUUCUUGUGCAUGUAAACAAAUAUUUGGUGUGCUUAUGCUUUUAGAAUACAGAGACAUGAAAGCUCCACUCGGUAGAACUUGAAAAGUAUGAUUCAGAACCAGAUGAAUGUUUGCUUGCAUUUCUAUAGUCAAAGAUUGCUUCUGCAAGUGUUGGACACUGGCUAUCACUUCUUUUCAAAGUAUGUUAAGUUGUGACAGUUGAUUAUUCUAUAGCAUUCAUUUUUCUUAUGUUACUCCUUUGUGGUUUUAUGAAUAGGCUGCAGAUAAUGAGGCUGCACGAGGACAUCUAGGUAAUGUAAAGCUUCGCAUUGAAGCCUUUACGACGCUACGUGUGCUUGUUGGUAUGGUAAUCUUGUGAAAUCAUGUAGGUUCUAACUUUUAGGGCAAUGAUUCAUUAAAUUUGACUUUGGGUUUCUUUGUUUCUUCCCCUCCUUCAUUUCACAAGGUUCUGACCAUGAGAAAAGCUUAAAUACUAUCUUUGACACUUUAUGAAUCAAUUGGUGUACCGAAUAAGAAUCAAAUUAUGCCAGUGGUGAUCAUUCUUUCCCUAACCUAAUUUCCUUAGUCCGGCAUAGGCGUGUCAUCAUUUUUACUUACUCUAUUCCUUUUGUGACUUGGAUGACUCUGUUGUUGGCGGCUUGAUGUGCUUUAAGCUCUUAACCAAGAAUUUGUUAUCAGAUGAGAGUGGUCUGAUUUUGUGGAUCCUUUUAAUGCACUACUAUUGUUGCAUGUCGGUUUGCAGGCUGUUGGAAGAUGUUUAUGCUUGGUGAGCAAUGUAGUGCAAAUUUGUGGGGGAGGUUUCUUUUCACAACGCUUCCGCACUGACGGCUCCCACUUCUGGAAACUUCUAUCCACUUCCCCAUUCCAUAGAAACCCCAAAUUGAAAGAGGAAAGAAUCCCUCUGCAACUUCCUUACAGAAGCAGAGUCCAUGGCUGAAACUUCUAAUCUGAAGGUCCAGGUUGCGGUGCUCAACAUGGCAUCACCCCCCACGGCCGGCAUGCCUGAAAUCUCCGAAAUUCUUCUCCCUUCCUCUUCUCUGAAAGAGUACCUUUACGUACAGUAUGGAGGGCAGAGUUAUGGUUUCGAUAUUAACUUAGAUUCUGUAGAAAUCUAAUUGUGUGAAAUAUUAAUUAGUGGAUAAACAGAUGUGUUAUAAUUGUGUGAGAUAUUAAUUACACUAAAAUUAAGAGCGAAAACGCACCUUUUUCUCU